UGCAAGUCGAGCGGAUGACAGGAGCUUGCUCCUGAAUUCAGCGGCGGACGGGUGAGUAAUGCCUAGGAAUCUGCCUGGUAGUGGGGGACAACGUUUCAAAAGGAACGCUAAUACCGCAUACGUCCUACGGGAGAAGGCAGGGGACCUUCGGGCCUUGCGCUAUCAGAUGAGCCUAGGUCGGAUUAGCUAGUUGGUGAGGUAAUGGCUCACCAAGGCGACGAUCCGUAACUGGUCUGAGAGGAUGAUCAGUCACACUGGAACUGAGACACGGUCCAGACUCCUACGGGAGGCAGCAGUGGGGAAUAUUGGACAAUGGGCGAAAGCCUGAUCCAGCCAUGCCGCGUGUGUGAAGAAGGUCUUCGGAUUGUAAAGCACUUUAAGUUGGGAGGAAGGGCAUUAACCUAAUACGUUAGUGUUUUGA
rnacentral:rRNA from 1 species